GGAGAGUUACCGAAGCGGUCAUAACGGGGCGGUCUUGAAAACCGUUAGGCGGCAACGCCACGGGGGUUCGAAUCCCUCACUCUCCGCCA
rnacentral:tRNA from 1 species